rnacentral:misc_RNA from 1 species
AACAUCGCGCACCUGCGGGAACCUGCGGAGGGAUCAUUACCGAGCGUUGCCCCCCUGAAAAAUGGGGGGUGCCUCCCGUCCUUUGCAGGCCCCUAGGGGCUCUCGAACCUUCUGCUUCGGCGGGCCACCCCGCCGGAACACCCUCCAAAACUUCUUGUCGAAACGGUUCCGUCCGAGGGCUUUUGAAAAUCUAGCCAAAACUUUUAACAAUGGAUCU